GAACUGCGAUAAGUAAUGUGAAUUGCAGAAUUCAGUGAAUCAUCGAGUCUUUGAACGCACAUUGCGCCCCCUGGCAUUCCGGGGGGCAUGCCUGUCCGAGCGUCAUUGCUGCCCUUCAAGCCCGGCUUGUGUGUUGGGUCGUCGUCCCCUCCGGGGGACGGGCCCGAAAGGCAGCGGCGGCACCGCGUCCGGUCCUCGAGCGUAUGGGGCUUUGUCACCCGCUCGAUAAGGACCGGCCGGGCGCCAGCCGGCGUCUCCAACCUUUUUUUCUCAGGUUGACCUCGGAUCGGGUAGGGAUACCCGCUGAACUUAAGC
rnacentral:misc_RNA from 1 species